rnacentral:sRNA from 1 species
GUCUGGGGGCGCGCGUCUUCGCGACCCUCGGCUGGGCCUGCCGCCCGCUUCCCGCCCCUGGCGCCUCACAGCUGCUCAGCCACUUCCCGCCUUGCCUCCUUCCGGGCCUCUCGGGCCCGGGGAGCGCGGCGGGCCGGGGCAGGGACCCGGGCAGGGACCGGGGAGGCCGGGCCUCCCGGGCUCAGCGCUGAAGCCCGAGAGGACUGCGGCUGGAAAGCGGCCGAGCACACGGACGAGCUCCUGGCGCGCCUGCUGCAGGGGCUGGGGUCUCGGGCCGGGGCCGCGGGCGUCCUCGCAGCCUCGGCGGGACGUGGGGGCUCGGGUGUAGGGCCGGGCCGGUGCAGGAAAGCGGGAGCGCGUAAUUCUUUGGCCUGUGAUGGGCACAGAUGUGUGCAGGACUUCAUUGACUUAACUAGAGAGACCAGACCAAGGACAAAAGAUCGCAGUGGACUGUGUGUGAUUGACCUGACAAGAGCUGAGGGAGAAAACAGACCUAUUGCCACUCUUGACUUAACUUUAGAACCUGUCACUCCUUCCCAGAAGGAGCCAACCAGUCUUCAGACAUGUGCCAGCCUCUCUGGCAAAGCGGUGAUGGAAGGGCAGGUGGACAGAAGCUCUCAGCCUACAGCACGGAGAAUCAUUAACAGUGAUCCUGUAGAUUUGGACCUAGUGGAAGAAAACACCUUUGUAGGUCCCC